rnacentral:rRNA from 1 species
GACGAACGCUGGCGGCGUGCUUAACGCAUGCAAGUCGAACGGUGACCCUCGGAGCUUGCUUCGGGGUGAGCAGUGGCGAACGGGUGAGUAACACGUGAGUAACCUGCCCCUGACUCUGGAAUAAGCGCUGGAAACGGCGUCUAAUACCGGAUACGACACGCCUCCGCAUGGGGAGCGUGUGGAAAGUUUUUCGGUCUGGGAUGGACUCGCGGCCUAUCAGCUUGUUGGUGAGGUAAUGGCUCACCAAGGCGAUGACGGGUAGCCGGCCUGAGAGGGCGACCGGCCACACUGGGACUGAGACACGGCCCAGACUCCUACGGGAGGCAGCAGUGGGGAAUAUUGCACAAUGGGCGAAAGCCUGAUGCAGCGACGCCGCGUGAGGGAUGACGGCCUUCGGGUUGUAAACCUCUUUCAGCAGGGAAGAAGCGAAAGUGACGGUACCUGCAGAAGAAGCACCGGCUAACUACGUGCCAGCAGCCGCGGUAACAC